AUUGAACGCUGGCGGCAGGCCUAACACAUGCAAGUCGAACGGUAACAGGAAGCAGCUUGCUGCUUCGCUGACGAGUGGCGGACGGGUGAGUAAUGUCUGGGAAACUGCCUGAUGGAGGGGGAUAACUACUGGAAACGGUAGCUAAUACCGCAUAACGUCGCAAGACCAAAGAGGGGGACCUUAGGGCCUCUUGCCAUCGGAUGUGCCCAGAUGGGAUUAGGUAGUAGGUGGGGUAACGGCUCACCUAGGCGACGAUCCCUAGCUGGUCUGAGAGGAUGACCAGCCACACUGGAACUGAGACACGGUCCAGACUCCUACGGGAGGCAGCAGUGGGGAAUAUUGCACAAUGGGCGCAAGCCUGAUGCAGCCAUGCCGCGUGUAUGAAGAAGGCCUUCGGGUUGUAAAGUACUUUCAGCGGGGAGGAAGGGAGUAAAGUUAAUACCUUUGCUCAUUGACGUUACCCGCAGAAGAAGCACCGGCUAACUCCGUG
rnacentral:rRNA from 1 species